UUAAAUUCCAGCUUGGAUAUUUGGUCCCAUUUUGCAGCUUCGAGCUGCUUAAUGCAGAAAAUAUAUCUCUUUUUUUUGCCUUCAUUUAAGAUAAAAAGUUUUAAAGGAAGUGCAAGUUAAAAUAGUGACAGCAUAUUCACCUGUUGUGCUAUCACAUGAGGUAUUUAACCCCUUUGCUGUCAACAAUUAGAUAGAUAUACAAAGCCUUAGGCUCCUUUUGGUAGAAAAUUAAUUAAGUCCUAUACAACAGACUAUAUAUGCUAUUAAACACUACUGGCAUAGAAAGGGUAGAUAUUAUAUAAUACAUCAUAUUGCGCCAUAUCCUUUCAUUCCAUGUUUCCAAUUACCACCUCGGAAAUGAGUCAUACUGCACAG